rnacentral:rRNA from 1 species
AUUGAACGCUGGCGGCAGGCCUAACACAUGCAAGUCGAACGCGUGGCGGACGGGUGAGUAAUGUCUGGGAAACUGCCCGAUGGAGGGGGAUAACUAAUGGAAACGGUAGCUUAUACCGCAUACCAUCGGAUGUGCCCAGAGGGGAUUAGCUAGGAGGUGGGGGAACGGCUAACCUAGGCGACGAACCCUAGCUGGUCUGAGAGGAUGACCAGCCACACGGGAACUGAGACACGGUCCAGCAUCCUACGGGAGGCAGCAGGGGGGAAUAUGGCACAAUGGGCGCAAGCCUGAUGCAGCCAUGCCGCGUGUAUGAAGAAGGCCUUCGGGUUGUAAAGUACUUUCAGCGGGGAGGCGUUACCCGCAGAAGAAGCACCGGCUAACUCCGUGCCAGCAGCCGCGGUAAUAC